GACGAAGGUGGCGAGCGUUGUUCGGAAUCACUGGGCAUAAAGCGCGCGUAGGCGGCUUUGUAAGUUAGAGGUGAAAGCCCGGAGCUCAACUCCGGAACUGCCUUUAAAACUGCAUCGCUUGAAUCCAGGAGAGGUGAGUGGAAUUCCGAGUGUAGAGGUGAAAUUCGUAGAUAUUCGGAAGAACACCAGUGGCGAAGGCGGCUCUCUGGGCAUUACCUGGACGCGUGAGGGAGCGAAAGUGUGGGGAGCCGAACAGG
rnacentral:rRNA from 1 species